UACGGGGGGGGCCAGCGUUGUUCGGAAUUACUGGGCGUAAAGGGCGCGUAGGCGGUUCGCUAAGUUGAAUGUGAAAACUCUGGGCUUAACCCAGAGCCUGCAUUCAAUACUGGCGGGCUAGAGUUCUGGAGGGGAUAGCGGAAUUCCUGGUGUAGCGGUGAAAUGCGUAGAUAUCAGGAGGAACACCGGUGGCGAAGGCGGCUAUCUGGACAGAGUCUGACGCUGAUGCGCGAAAGCUAGGGGAGCAAACAGG
rnacentral:rRNA from 1 species